AUUCCAGGGAGCAGAGGUCCCCAGAGAGCUGCACAAACUUCUCUGAACAAGCCUUGAAGAUCAGCUCAUCACUUCUGUCUCAUGCUAUUGGUGGACACAGCAACAAGCAUCCUCAGAUGCAAAGGGUGGAGACACAGAUGCACCCUCACUGCAAGGAAUGCCCAAGUCACUCACACAAUAAGACAGCAUUGGAGUGACAAAUAUUGUUACAGCCAUCUUUGGGAAAGACAGCCUACUGUGCCCCAAGCUAACAAUUCUUUCUUAGCCUUAUUUAUGCUUUAGUGUUCAAUACCCAGGGUGGCUCCAGCCAAGGGCAAACUGGUGGGGCAGUGUCUCCCUGACUACUGGAGAGACAGGACACAGACACACAGCUGUCUCCACCAGCACGGAGGAUAGCCUAACCAAGUCCCCCUCUCUCCAUUCCAAUUUCUCCCUGACUGUAAGGAACCUGCUAUGUCACCUUCCUGUGUAGGGAGACAGAAGAAGACUGAGCUUCAAAGGUUUGGCCAGCAGGUAUGGGGGGUUGCUGAGGAAUGGGAGCUCCGUGGUGAGAUGCCGCAGAGGCAGCACCUUCCAUCUGCAGCAGCUGACAGCAAUCCCCAGAGAGGUCAGAUUCAUGUGCCCUUGGGUGCCUGCCAGGCUCAAUGUGCCUUCCAGGAAGAGACUCUGGGAGCCAUUACCAGCUGUCAAAGGGACCCUCUACCAAGUGUUGCAGGUUGAAUUGUGCCCUCCCAAAAGACAUGCUGAAGGCCUAACCCCUGGUAUCUGUGAAUGCGACCUUACUUGGAAAUAGGACCUUCCUAAAUAUAAUCAAGUAAAGAAGCAACUGGCCUAUGAGAACAGUGAAUGGCCUGUGGAAAACUGAGCCAAGAUCAGUCAAUGGCCAACAUAUGGUGCCACGUUCCCAACAGCUAGAAGAGUCCAAUACUCAAUAGGCCCAGAAUGCAUGGUUAUGAAAUGAAUGAUUGGAAGACUACGGUUCCAUUGCUCUGGUGUCACGCCCACCCCAAGCCCUGAUGAAUGUGUCACCAUCAUUGCAGAUAAGUCUAUUAGUCUGCUCCGGCUGUGGGGUAUAAUCAAAAGUAUGUUUGGUCUCUGUCCCAGGUUCCUGUCCCACAGCUCCUUGAACUCUGGAAAUUGCCUGAGUGAUGAGUGUCUCUUGUUAUUCAUAAUGAGCCCCUUUGGCUAACACUCAGGUGUUAGCCAAAGGCAUAAUGCUCAGGCGGUGAUUUGGGGUGGGGUCCCUAUGUAGCCUCAGGCUGGGACCAGUCACUCAAAAGACCAAGUGAUCAGAAAAAUAGAGGGUUGGAACUUUCAGCCCCAUCCACCAACUUCCAAAAAGUUGGGGGAGCUGGAGAUUAAGGUCAAUAAAAACUCUUGAACAAUGAUGUUUGAGGAGCUUCUGGAUUGGAGAAUACAUCCCUGUGCCGAGAGGAUAGUGGACUCCCACUCCACGAGGACAAAUGUUUCUGCACUCAGGACCCUUCCAGACCUUGCCCCAUGUACCUCUUUAUUCCAGUGGCUAUCUUUAUCCUUUAUAAUAAAUCAG
rnacentral:lncRNA from 1 species